rnacentral:lncRNA from 1 species
GCAUUCUUUUCUGCAAUGCUGACACUUCCUUCUAGUUACACCCUUUGGCACUCUAAUCUGUGGUCUUAGUUUUAGUCACUGAUGAAGAUAUUUGGCACAUUAACUCUUAUUUCAGUUAACACCAGAUGAAGUGAACUCAAUUCCUCUUCUCACACAAAAGUUGGCCCCAAACUAGUUCAAAAAUAUAUUUGAAUUCUUUCUUGGCUAGUGUCGGUUAUUUGUGUCCCUUUAGUGAUCUGAUUAAUAUUUGCUUUUGUGAUGGUUGUCACAUCAAGAUAGCUGCAAGCAUUGUUAAAGAGACAUUUGAUAAGAGGGACUACUUACCUGGAAUUCACCCCCAGACCACCGAAAUCUUAACUACUGAUGACAGUUUUGUGUAUCCUUUAAGGAGCUCUUGAACUCUGAAUUCUAUAGAGAAAAUAAAAAGAUUUGUUGAAAAUGACUGACCCCAUGUGGGUUGAGAACUAUAUCCAGUUAACUAAACUGUAAACAGCUAACUGAAUCUGUUAACAGUUAAGUAUGUUAUCUAUAAAAUAAGCUUCAAGUAGCACUGUGUUGUAACUUCUUGGUGCCUCCAAAUUAAGAGUUAAACCCUUAGAUCUGGCUAAGGAAAUGACUUUAUCCUAGCCCAAAGGAGACCUUUUCCUCAACUCUUCCUCCAUUAUUUUUAUUCUCUAUUGUUUACUCAUCGUCUCAUAUGUCCCCUGUCAUGUUACAUUGGAAUCAUUUCUUUUAGAUGCAAACUGCAGCUGAUGUGUUCAUUGGGUCUAUUGCAGCCCCCACCAAGUGUUCACUUCUGGUGAGAGGCAUAUCCAGGGCCUGAGUGCUGGAACCCAAAGAUGACAAGGGUGGAGCAUUGAUGAGUUAACCUCGCAGCUGGAGGGUCUGUGCUGCAUAGUCUCCCCUUGGGCCAUGAGAGCACAUGCUUGAGAAUUACAUAAGCCUGUAGCAGGGCAGGGCUCAGGGCUACGGAAUUGAUAACACCAGUGGGACUAAGGCAUCCACCAUCUGUUCUUUGUUAUGUUCAUGCCCAUCACCAAAGUAAAAAUCACAGUCAUCCUUCUCUCCACCAUUUCUGUCUCAAUCAAUCACUUCCUCCUAGGCUGGCCAAAUUAUCUUCUUCAACUUGCCAGAGGAAGAGGGAAUGUCUUUUGGUAAGGCACAGAGGAGCCCUUGGUUUUCCAGUUACACUCCUGCUAAUUGCAGAGAUUUCUCAGUUCGUGGUAAUCAUGGAGGCUUGCAUCUUUAAGCGCUUGCCAUCUGCAAAAACUGGCCCCAGUUGCUAUCCGGAGAUGGCAUCUCCCACUGAAAUCUGCAUGAACUUUGUCCCUGUGGGCUGCAGGGACCUGAGUAGUUUUCAAGUCCCUGGCUUUUGAUAGGAAGCAAAAAGCUUCUAGAUUGAGUACAGCCUGAAAAAGGAAGAGAAAUCGUGAUACUUCCUGUGUUGCAAUAACAAACACCCGUCCUAACUGCUGCUAGACAGGGAACUGGCAGUUUAACCUCUUCCUGCUCACUAGGGAGGUGGGGCAGGGCGAGUGGGAGUGGGGAGCUCCCCUUUCUUGCAGGCUCCAUCCACAGAACACUUCCUACAAACCCCUUCCUGCCUUUGUAAUCCUAGUGUUGCAAAGCUGCCCUGUCUGCUCUGUGCAGAGCCCUCUCUGUGCUCUGCCUCGCCUGUGCCCUCUCUAAUUGCCCUCUUCCUUACAAAAUCCAGCUGCCGGUUGAGGCUUCUCUCCCUGAAUUUACAGCCGUCUAAUCAACUGGUAAUUUACUUUCAAUCAGUGCCGGAUUGUGUUCCUCAGAUUCAUAUCUCCUUUUUCAUUUAGUGAGGAAAUGAUUGCCUUUCCUCUUUACCAUUUGUUUUAAAUAUUAGCUGCCAUGUUGUGCCGAGCAAUGGUCUCUUAAAUACGAAGGUACGAUCUGGCAGUUCAAGACAGCAUUUGUCCAAAGCUGUCUGAACACUUACAGUGUGCUCGAGGCAAGUCCGCAUGCCUAGGACUGGGGUAGCGUCUGUCAUGCUGUCUUAUGCCCCAGUGACUUAAGUUCUUCAGUUGUCAGUGUCAAAUCUUGAUUUCUAGAGGCUCCUUGUUAUUUAAUUCCAGCCAGGAACUGAUUUCCUUGCAGGCUUCUGUGAGGCCAUCCUGAAUGGCUGCAGUGGGGUGAGGAUGGUCUGGGGCUGUGCUAUGAGGCUUUGACCCUGAAGUUUCACCUGUUAAGAUCUGAAAAACUGCAGGCCAAGAACAUUAACAGGUUGUUUUGUGGCUUGUGGGGCAGGUUGAGUAGCACAGAAGAGAAGCUGGGGAGAUGGAGAGAGAGCAGGCAAGGGGAGAGUCAGAGAUGAAAUGAGUGACCAGUGGGUCAGCUGAGGCUCAUCCGCCCAGACCCUGCUCUUAGGCAUAUCUUGAAUGUGUCCCUGGACAUGCUCUUACAUGUGAAUGAUGUUAGUAAGUCUCAUCCUUUCUGCUGAGAAGCACUUUCCUAGUAGGACAGGAUCGGGGCUGAGGAACUUUCGACCCCAGCCCACUUUCUAGCUAUUUGCUCUUAUUAAAAAUCUUCCUGCUGGCCAGGCACAGUGACUCAAGCCUGUAAUCCCAGC